rnacentral:rRNA from 1 species
AUUACCGAGUUAUUCAACUCAUCAACCCUGUGAACAUACCUAAACGUUGCUUCGGCGGGAAUAGACGGCCCCGUGAAAACGGGCCGCCCCCGCCAGAGGACCCUUAACUCUGUUUCUAUAAUGUUUCUUCUGAGUAAAACAAGCAAAUAAAUUAAAACUUUCAACAACGGAUCUCUUGGCUCUGGCAUCGAUGAAGAACGCAGCGAAAUGCGAUAAGUAAUGUGAAUUGCAGAAUUCAGUGAAUCAUCGAAUCUUUGAACGCACAUUGCGCCCGCCAGUAUUCUGGCGGGCAUGCCUGUUCGAGCGUCAUUACAACCCUCAGGCCCCCGGGCCUGGCGUUGGGGAUCGGCGGAGCCUCUCUGCGGGCACACGCCGUCCCCCAAAUACAGUGGCGGUCCCGCCGCAGCUUCCAUCGCGUAGUAGCUAACACCUCGCGACUUGGGGAGCGGCGCGGCCACGCCGUAAAACACCCAACUCUUCUGAAGUUGACCUCGAAU